rnacentral:rRNA from 1 species
ACUCAAAGGAAUUGACGGGGGCCCGCACAAGCGGUGGAGCAUGUGGUUUAAUUCGAUGCAACGCGAAGAACCUUACCUACUCUUGACAUACCAGAAAGAACGCAGAGAUGUGUUUGUGCCUUCGGGAAUCUGGAUACAGGUGCUGCAUGGCUGUCGUCAGCUCGUGUCGUGAGAUGUUGGGUUAAGUCCCGUAACGAGCGCAACCCUUAUCUAUAGUUGCUAGCAGGUUAAGCUGAGGACUCUAUAGAGACUGCCAGUGAUAAACUGGAGGAAGGUGGGGACGACGUCAAGUCAUCAUGGCCCUUACGAGUAGGGCUACACACGUGCUACAAUGGUCGGUACAACGGGAAGCGAAGGGGUGACCUGGAGCGAAACCUAAAAAGCCGAUCGUAGUCCGGAUUGAAGUCUGCAACUCGACUUCAUGAAGUUGGAAUCGCUAGUAAUCGCGAAUCAGAAUGUCGCGGUGAAUACGUUCCCGGGCCUUGCACACACCGCCCGU